GACGAACGCUGGCGGCGCGCCUAACACAUGCAAGUCGAACGAGCGAGAGAGAGCUUGCUUUCUCGAGCGAGUGGCGAACGGGUGAGUAACGCGUGAGGAACCUGCCUCAAAGAGGGGGACAACAGUUGGAAACGACUGCUAAUACCGCAUAAGCCCACGGCUCGGCAUCGAGCAGGGGGAAAAGGAGCAAUCCGCUUUGAGAUGGCCUCGCGUCCGAUUAGCUAGUUGGUGGGGUAACGGCCCACCAAGGCGACGAUCGGUAGCCGGACUGAGAGGUUGAACGGCAACAUUGGGACUGAGACACGGCCCAGACUCCUACGGGAGGCAGCAGUGGGGAAUAUUGCACAAUGGGGGAAACCCUGAUGCAGCGACGCCGCGUGGAGGAAGAAGGUCUUCGGAUUGUAAACUCCUGUUGUUGGGGAAGAUAAUGACGGUACCCAACAAGGAAGUGACGGCUAACUACGUG
rnacentral:rRNA from 1 species